rnacentral:rRNA from 1 species
AUUGAACGCUGGCGGCAUGCCUUACACAUGCAAGUCGAACGGCAGCGGGGGAGAAGCUUGCUUUUCCUGCCGGCGAGUGGCGAACGGGUGAGUAAUACAUCGGAACGUGCCCUGUAGUGGGGGAUAACUAGUCGAAAGAUUAGCUAAUACCGCAUACGACCUGAGGGUGAAAGUGGGGGACCGCAAGGCCUCAUGCUAUAGGAGCGGCCGAUGUCUGAUUAGCUAGUUGGUGGGGUAAAGGCCUACCAAGGCGACGAUCAGUAGCUGGGCUGAGAGGACGAUCAGCCACACGGGGACUGAGACACGGCCCAAACUCCUACGGGAGGCAGCAGUGGGGAAUUUUGGACAAUGGGCGAAAGCCUGAUCCAGCAAUGCCGCGUGUGUGAAGAAGGCCUUCGGGUUGUAAAGCACUUUUGUCCGGAAAGAAAUGGCUCUGGUUAAUACCUGGGGUCGAUGACGGUACCGGAAGAAUAAGGACCGGCUAACUACGUGCCAGCCGCCGCAGUAA